rnacentral:rRNA from 1 species
UACAGAGGGGGCAAGCGUUAUUCGGAAUUAUUGGGCGUAAAGGGCGCGUAGGCGGCUUGGCAAGUGGAUGGUGAAAUCCCUCGGCUUAACCGAGGAACUGCCGUCCAAACUGCUUCGCUUGAGACCGGGAGAGGUGAGUGGAAUUCCCAGUGUAGCGGUGAAAUGCGUAGAUAUCGAGAGGAACACCAGAGGUGAAGACGGGUUGCUGGGCCGACACUGACGCUGCAGCGCGAAAGCCAGGGGAGCAAACGGG